AUUGAACGCUGGCGGCAGGCUUAACAAAUGCAAGUCGAGCGAGCGGGGGACGGGUGAGUAGGGUCUGGGAAAGUGCCUGAGGGAGGGGGAUAACUACUGGAAACGGUAGCUAAUACCGCAUAAUGUGAGAUGUGCGGAGAUGGGAUUAGCUAGUAGGUGGGGUAAUGGCUCACCAAGGCGACGAUCCUUCGCUGGUCUGAGAGGAUGACCAGUCACACUGGAACUGAGACACGGUCCAGACUCCUACGGGAGGCAGCAGUGGGGAAUAUUGGACAAUGGGCGAAAGCCUGAUCCAGCCAUGCCGCGUGUGUGAAGAAGGCCUUCGGGUUGUAAAGCACUUUAAGUGGGGAGGCGUUACUAACAGAAUAAGCACCGGCUAACUCCGUGCCAGCAGCCGCGGUAAUAC
rnacentral:rRNA from 1 species